rnacentral:rRNA from 1 species
AGAGUUUGAUCCUGGCUCAGGACGGACGCUGGCGGCGUGCCUAAUACAUGCAAGUCGAAUCGGGGCCGUUUGCGGAAGCNCUUCGGGCGGAAGCGGGCGGCUCAGUGCCGGACGGGUGAGUAACACGUGGGUAACCUGCCCUUUAGCCCGGGAUAACCUUCGGAAACGGGGGCUAAUCCCGGAUGCGGAGCGCCGGACGCAUGUCCGGAGCUCGAAAGAUACGGCGCUAAAGNGAUGGGCCCGCGUCCCAUUAGCUAGUUGGUAGGGUAACGGCCUACCAAGGUGACGAUGGGUAGCCGGCCUGAGAGGGUGGACGGCCACACUGGGACUGAGACACGGCCCAGACUCCUACGGGAGGCAGCAGUAGGGAAUCUUGCGCAAUGGGCGAAAGCCUGACGCAGCGACGCCGCGUGAGGGACGAAGGCCUUCGGG